CAGCCGCCGCGGGAAUACGUAGGGUGCAAGCGUUAAUCGGAAUUACUGGGCGUAAAGCGUGCGCAGGCGGUUCGCUAAGACAGAUGUGAAAUCCCCGGGCUUAACCUGGGAACUGCAUUUGUGACUGGCGGGCUAGAGUAUGGCAGAGGGGGGUAGAAUUCCACGUGUAGCAGUGAAAUGCGUAGAGAUGUGGAGGAAUACCGAUGGCGAAGGCAGCCCCCUGGGCCAAUACUGACGCUCAUGCACGAAAGCGUGGGGGGCAAACAGGAUUAGAUACCCGCGUAGUCCCUGUCUCUUAUAC
rnacentral:rRNA from 1 species